ensembl:lncRNA
GUGGGUCAGGCUGUCAAGGUGGAACCCCAAGGCUGCAUGUGGCUGUGGAUACAGAAUUGAGUGGGCAUGAUCUGGAGAUACAGCAGGUUCAAGUAUGCAGAAUAGACCAAAUCGGAAAGAAGGCAUCACUUUAGACUGAAACAAAUCAGGGCUAACCAGAAAAGACCUUUUAGGCCAACGACCACUUGAGAUGUCCCUGAUUCCUCCGUGUUUCACUCACUGGCUCCUGGCUCCUGGAAUCUGUUGGACCUGUAUUUGCAUUCACCAUUUCUCAGGAGGGAAAUGAUUCUAGUGACCUCACUGUGGGGAGACAGGAGUUUCUGGAGUGACAGCAGAUCUCUGGAUAGUGGCCUUCAUAUUGUGAAUGAGAUUGCAGAGGUCCAUGUCCUACCUUAUGACAUCAGAAAGAGCAGUUCUAUUCUUCACAUUCAGGGCAUGGAAGCCAGAAAUUGCGCAUUUAUGAACCUACUCACAGAGAAACAAUUCUUGCUGAAGGAGCUUGGAUUAGUUUGUUGACAUUUACCACAAAAACCUUUGCAUUUACUCAUAUCCAAGAAACAAAACCAAAUCAAAACCAACCCCCUACAGUGCCCUGGAUUCAGGAAGAAGUGGACAUAUCUUCCUAAUCAAGAGUCAAUGAAGGUAGUGCCUUUCAGGUCUACUAUAUCCUUCUACUUCUCUGUAUAUUCAUUUUAUUAAUUUUGGGGAGUUUGAUAUUGAAACUCCAGCUAAAAAUCUUGAUGUAGCUACUUAAAAAAUAAUUGUAAUGUAUAGUGGAGUUUCCCUGAUAGCUCAGCUGGUAAAGAAUCCUCCUGAAAUGCAGGAGACCCCAGUUCUAUUCCUGAAUUGGGAAGAUCCGCUGGAGACCGAAUAGGCUACCCACUCCAGUAUUCUUGGGCUUCCCUGUGGCUCAGCUGGUAAAGAAUCCACCUGCAAUGCAGGAGACCUAGGUUUGAUCUCCGGUUUGGGAAGAUCCCCUGAAGAAGGGAAAGACUGCUGCUGCUGCUAAGUCGCUUCAGUCAUGUCCGACUCUGUGCGACCCCAUACAGCCCACCAGGCUCCCCCGUCCAUGGGACUCUCCAGGCAAGAACACUGGAGUGGGUUGCCAUUUCCUUCUCCAGUGCAGGAAAGUGAAAAGUGAAAGGGAAGUCGCUCAGUCGUGUCCGACUCUUUGCGACCGUAUGGACUGCAGCCCACCAGUCUCCUCCGUCCAUGGGAUUUUUCAGGCAAGAGUGCUGGAGUGGGGUACCCACUCCAUUAUUCUGGCCUAGAGAAUUCCAUGGACUGUAUAGUCAUUGGGGGUCCCAAAGAGUCGGACAUGACUGAGCGACUUUCACUUUCACUUUCACAGUGAAGCUAUAUGUAACCUGGUUCUGUAUUUUCCAAGUCUCACGUAAAUGUAUUGUAAUACUUUCAUAAUGUAAAAAAUAAAAAAGAAACAGAAAAAAAGAAUUGAUGAGGAAUUUUAAUUUCUGAACACAAUUAUGAUGAUGACUGGGACCUCCAUGGAGUCAUUGCAUUUUGCUGUUCUUCCAGGGCACUGGGUUUCCAUAUCUAGGAAGGAAAGCAUGAUACAAGGAAUCUUACAUAGCAACACAAAAUUCUUUCCAAAAUAUGCAGUGCUUUUCUAAGAACCCUUUCGAAC